rnacentral:miRNA from 17 species
UACCGGGAAACUUGUGUCAGUCA